rnacentral:rRNA from 1 species
GACGAACGCUGGCGGCGUGCUUAACACAUGCAAGUCGAGCGGUAAGGCCCUUCGAGGUACACGUUCGGCGAACGGGUUAGUGACACGUGAGUAAUUUGCCCAUCACUUCGGUAUAACUCCGGGAAACCGUUGCUAAUACCGAAUAUGUCCACCUCACGCAUCUGGUGGUGGUGGAAAGUUCCGGCGGUGAUGGAUGAGCUCGCGGCCUAUCAGCUUGUUGGUCGGGUAGUGGCCUACCAAGGCUUCGACGGCUAGCCGGCAUGAGAGGGUGACCGGCCACAAUGGGACUGAGAGACGGCCCAGACGCCAACGGGAGGCAGCAGUGGGGAAUAUUGGCCAAUGGGCGAAAGCCUGAUCCAGCAACGCCGCGUGAGGGAUGACGGCCUUCGGGUUGUAAACCUCUUUAAGCAGGGACGAAGCGGAAGUGACGGUACCUGCAGAAGAAGCACCGGCCAACUACGUG